rnacentral:rRNA from 1 species
AGGCAAACCGGGAGAACUGAAACAUCUAAGUACCCCGAGGAAAAGAAAUCAACCGAGAUUUUGUCAGUAGCGGCGAGCGAAAGCGAAAGAGCCAGCAAGUGAUAGCAGCAAAGACAGAAGAAUUGGCUGGGAAGCCAAGCGACACAGGGUGAUAGCCCCGUAUUCGAAGUUUUUGUUGUGGUACUAAGCUUGCAACAAGUAGGGCGGGACACGAGAAAUCCUGUUUGAAGAUGGGGGGACCAUCCUCCAAGGCUAAAUACUCCUGAUUGACCGAUAGUGAACCAGUACUGUGAAGGAAAGGCGAAAAGAACCCCAGUGAGGGGAGUGAAAUAGAACCUGAAACCGUGUACGUACAAGCAGUGGGAGCCCGAAAGGGUGACUGCGUACCUUUUGUAUAAUGGGUCAGCGACUUAUAUUUUGUAGCGAGGUUAACUGAAUAAGGGAGCCGAAGGGAAACCGAGUCUUAACUGGGCGGUGAGUUGCAAGGUAUAGACCCGAAACCCGGUGAUCUAGCCAUGGGCAGGUUGAAGGUUGGGUAACACUAACUGGAGGACCGAACCGACUAAUGUUGAAAAAUUAGCGGAUGACUUGUGGCUGGGGGUGAAAGGCCAAUCAAACCGGGAGAUAGCUGGUUCUCCCCGAAAUCUAUUUAGGUAGAGCCUUAUGUGAAUACCUUCGGGGGUAGAGCACUGUUUCGGCUAGGGGUCCAUCCCGGAUUACCAACCCGAUGCAAACUGCGAAUACCGAAGAGUAAUGCAUAGGAGACACAC